GAUGAACGCUGGCGGCGUGCCUAAUACAUGCAAGUCGAGCGAACAGAUGAGGGGCUUGCUCCUCUGACGUUAGCGGCGGACGGGUGAGUAACACGUGAAUAACCUACCUAUAAGACUGGGAUAACUUCGGGAAACCGGAGCUAAUACCGGAUAAUAUAUUGAACCGCAUGGUUCAAUAGUGAAAGACGGUUUUGCUGUCACUUAUAGAUGGAUCCGCGCCGCAUUAGCUAGUUGGUAAGGUAACGGCUUACCAAGGCAACGAUGCGUAGCCGACCUGAGAGGGUGAUCGGCCACACUGGAACUGAGACACGGUCCAGACUCCUACGGGAGGCAGCAGUAGGGAAUCUUCCGCAAUGGGCGAAAGCCUGACGGAGCAACGCCGCGUGAGUGAUGAAGGUCUUCGGAUCGUAAAACUCUGUUAUUAGGGAAGAACAAAUGUGUAAGUAACUAUGCACGUCUUGACGGUACCUAAUCAGAAAGCCACGGCUAACUACGUG
rnacentral:rRNA from 1 species